rnacentral:rRNA from 1 species
GAUGAACGCUGGCGGCGUGCCUAAUACAUGCAAGUCGAGCGAACAGACGAGGAGCUUGCUCCUCUGACGUUAGCGGCGGACGGGUGAGUAACACGUGGAUAACCUACCUAUAAGACUGGGAUAACUUCGGGAAACCGGAGCUAAUACCGGAUAAUAUAUUGAACCGCAUGGUUCAAUAGUGAAAGACGGUUUUGCUGUCACUUAUAGAUGGAUCCGCGCCGCAUUAGCUAGUUGGUAAGGUAACGGCUUACCAAGGCAACGAUGCGUAGCCGACCUGAGAGGGCGAUCGGCCACACUGGAACUGAGACACGGUCCAGACUCCUACGGGAGGCAGCAGUAGGGAAUCUUCCGCAAUGGGCGAAAGCCUGACGGAGCACCGCCGCGUGAGUGAUGAAGGUCUUCGGAUCGUAAAACUCUGUUAUUAGGGAAGAACAAAUGUGUAAGUAACUAUGCACGUCUUGACGGUACCUAAUCAGAAAGCCACGGCUAACUACGUG